rnacentral:rRNA from 1 species
GACGAACGCUGGCGGCGUGCCUAAUACAUGCAAGUCGAACGCAGUGGGGACGGGUGAGUAACGCGUGGGUAACCUCCCAUCAGAGGGGAUAACACUUGGAAACAGGUGCUAAACCGAUACUGAUGGAUGGACCCGCGGUGCAUUAGCUAGUUGGUGAGGUAACGGCUCACCAAGGCCACGAUGCAUAGCCGACCUGAGAGGGGGAUCGGCCACACUGGGACUGAGCAACGGCCCAGACUCCUACGGGAGGCAGCAGUAGGGAAUCUUCGGCAAUGGACGAAAGUCUGACCGAGCAACGCCGCGUGAGUGAAGAAGGUUUUCGGAUCUUAAAACUCUGUUGUUAGAGAAGCGGUAUCUAACCAGCAAACAACUGCUACCUACGUGACAGCCGCCGCGGUAAUAC